rnacentral:pre_miRNA from 1 species
UGGAAGACUAGUGAUUUUGUUGUUGAGAGUGGAACGACAACAAGUCACAGUCUCCUGCA